GCCUCCCAAAGUCCUGGGAUUACAGGAGUGAGCCACUACCACCUUUUAAUCACGACCAAACAUCACCUUUUAAUCACAAUCCUGAGAGGUGUGACCCUGGCAUUGCCACGUGCGAGUCCCCCUAGGAAACCAAGGCUACGCUGGGAGCACUGUGGGGCUGUUUAGGGACUCAAGGCCAUGCCACGUCCUGACUCUGCGAUGCCUCCCAAGGGUGAGCAGUGGGUUCUUGCCUUUGCCACAAAAGAUGCUGCCCUUGGGAAUACCAGGAUGAGUUAAUGAUUUCUGAGCAUAUUUCCUAAACUAUGUUCCAAAGAGCACCACAGCUAGAGGUUUGAAAGGAAUUUAGGAAAGAUCUUACGCAUAUUCCAUUUCCUCCUCGGAGUAACAUCAGCGUAUGAAAUGCCCAGACAAGUCCUGUGCGGAAGAGAAGCACCCACCCUCCCCCUCUGUCAGCGGACGGGACCCUCAUGGCCCCAAGGGAGGCUAGUCCACGUUCACCACACACGCAUUCCUAGAAGUGGUUUUUAACGUAAUCAUUUAGGAAUAUUUUUGUAAAUAAUUUUCUGAUUAUCAAAACCAUAAUUACAGGAUUUUAAUUAUUUUAUGGAUAUGCAGGUUGAAGAGACUGGGUUUUGAUGACUUUGAUGGGGGAGGGAGGGAGGGAGAGAGAGAGAGAGAGAGAGAUUGAUUUAGUUUCUGAGGAGACAAACACUAGGGUUAAGAAGGAUUAGAAGGCGAUUUUCCUGCAUUGAAAUAGUUUUUUUUUUUUUUUUUGAGAAGGAGUUUCACUUUGUCGCCCAGGCUGGAGUGUAAGGGCAUGAUCUUGGCUCACUGAAACCUCUGUCUCCCGGGUUCAACCGAUUCUCCUGCCUCAGCCUCCCAAGUAGCUGGGAUUAUAGGCACCCACCACCAUGCCUGGCUAAUUUUUGUAUUUUUAAUAGAGACGGGGGCUUCACCGUGUUGGCCAGGCUUGUCUUGACCUCCUGACCUCAGGUGAUCCACCCAACUUAGCCUCCCAAAGUGCUGGGAUUACAGGCAUGAGCCACCGCUCCCGGCCUCUUGCACUGAAGUCCAAAGGCCAGAAGAACCCGGAGGCUUUCGGCGUUUCCGCCUUUGCCUUCCGAUGUCCAUUCCCAUCUGAGCAGUCAUUUCUGCUUAAUUCCGCCAUUACUUCCUCCCUUGAUGCUUCUGAAACUGUCUCCUCAGCAGAUGAUCCCUGCAUUAGUUGGCGGAGCUGAUGGUGUUCCCUGUUUUACCCUGUGGUCUCAUUUCCGGAUGCUGCUACCAAUGCCCGUCUCUAUGGCUCCCUGCCCACGUGUGCAGCCCCGUCACUGAGAGGGAAGUGGCUGGAGAGGUGUCCAGAUCAUUGUGAAUGAAGUCAUCUGUGAAACCAUGGGAGAGAGAUUUGAUAUCUGCUUCCCUUUCAAAUGAAAGGAAAAGAGUGGGGUGAGAGAGGGCGGCACUCCCCAGACAGGCCCUGACCACACCCUGGCCCCACGCCUCAGCAGAACAACUCUGAACCUCUAUGGACUCACAGGGGCGAGGUCGGGGCAAGGAGACUCAGGGCCUGCGCUGCUCACCGGGUGAGAAGUCACAGCUGGUUAGGAGGCCACAGGUAAGCAGAGGUGCGAGCCACCAGGGACGGGGUGAGUUAUUCACAGGUGAAUGAGCUAGGACGAGGCAACAGCACGCAGGCCACGCCUCGCCAACCCAUGGGUCCUCAACAGGAUUUUGGUGACACGCAACACCCCUCUGGCUCCUGCUCUGAUCCAUGAUGGUGAGGGAGGUUCCCACGGUCACGCGUGUGCUGGGAUUCUGCUCUUUACGCCGUCCCCGGGCAACACAGACAUCAGCUCUUCUCUCCUCCAGCUGAGCAAAUGUAAGCUGUCCAGGAGAAUCCAUCCCAGCUGCUAACAAAAUCUUCAGACGAGAGUCAGUCUGAUUCGGAGUGGAAUGAAAUGAGCAUUCGGCAAUACCUCCGUGUGCCAGUGCAGCUGAGUUCUCGGUAAACACAAUAUUCCGAGGUGAUACUGAGCUCUGCGUCCUCAGAUUAAAUGUAUCUCCUUCUUAGAUUUGCUCGUGCACUUUACGGCUUCUGCAAAUGACAGCCUCGGCGCUGCAAAGUAAUUCCACACUGUCAUAUUUGUCUUUGGAAAUUGUAACAAAUUAUGGUGAUUUAUAACAUCAAACUCAACUCCCAUUUUUCCCCAGACGGCAAUGUCGCUGAUGGCGAGAUUCCGGGCCAUCCAUUUAUCCUGUGUGGAGGCUGACAGGGACGCAUGCCUCAUCUGCUGCCAAGACACUGGGUUCCCUUGAGGGGACUCUGUCGACAUAACUCACCCUGUCCCGGGUGGCUCGCACCUCUGCUUACCUGUGGCCUCCUAACCAGCUGUGACUUCUCACCUGGGCAGCCCGUGGGUCCUGAGAUGAGCAAGUCCACAUCUGAUUUAGGAAAUGAAGAGUUUCUCGGUGGCCAACGUGGUCAGGAGGAGAAUGAAAAUAAACUCAGUCUAUGCCACCGAGGGCACGUCAGGCAACAGCCCCCGCCCUCCUGGUCUGGCUGCCUCAAGGAAUGUUCCAGGGCACGUGAGUCUCACCUGCGGCCUUAGAAGGUAGCACCCCACUCAGACGCAAUUUGAACCCCAUGAUCACAGCCGCCCAGACCCCACUCAGACGUAGUUCAGACCCUGGAUCACAGCCGCCCAGACCCCACUCAGACGUAGUUCAGACCCUGGAUCACAGCCGUCCAGACCCCACUCAGAUGUAGUUCAGACCCUGGAUCCGUCCAGACCCCACUCAGACGCAGUUCGGACCCUGGAUCACAGCCGUCCAGACCCCACUCAGACGCAGUUUGGACCCUGGAUCACAGCCGUCCAGACCCCACUCAGACGCAGUUCGGACUCUGGAUCCGUCCAGAUCCCACUCAGACGUAGUUCAGACCCUGGAUCACAGCCAUCCAGACCCCACUCAGAUGUAGUUCAGACCCUGGAUCACAGCCAUCCAGACCCCACUCAGAUGUAGUUCAGACCCUGGAUCCGUCCAGACCCCACUCAGACGUAGUUCAGACCCUGGAUCACAGCCGUCCAGACCCCACUCAGAUGUAGUUCAGACCCUGGAUCCGUCCAGACCCCACUCAGACGCAGUUCAGACCCUGGAUCACAGCCGUCCAGACUCCACUCAGACUCAGUUCAGACCCUGGAUCACAGCCGUCCAGACCCCACUCAGACGCAGUUCAGACCCUGGAUCACAGCCGCCCAGACCCCACUCAGAUGUAGUUCAGACCCUGGAUCACAGCCGUCCAGACCCCACUCAGACGCAGUUCAGACCCUGGAUCACAGCCGUCCAGACCCCACUCACACUCAGUUCAGACCCUGGAUCACAGCCGCCCAGACCCCACUCAGACGCAGUUCAGACCCUGGAUCACAGCCGCCCAGACCCCACUCAGACGCAGUUCAGACCCUGGAUCACAGCCGCCCAGACCCCACUCAGACGCAGUUCAGACCCUGGAUCACAGCCGUCCAGACCCCACUCAGACGCAGUUCGGACCCUGGAUCACAGCCGCCCAGACCCCACUCAGACGCAGUUCAGACCCUGGAUCCGUCCAGACCCCACUCAGACGCAGUUCGGACCCUGGAUCACAGCCGUCCAGACCCCACUCAGACGCAGUUCAGACCCUGGAUCACAGCCGUCCAGACCCCACUCAGACGCAGUUCGGACCCUGGAUCACAGCCGUCCAGACCCCACUCAGACGCAGUUCGGACCCUGGAUCACAGCCGCCCAGACCCCACUCAGACGCAGUUCAGACCCUGGAUCCGUCCAGACCCCACUCAGACGCAGUUCGGACCCUGGAUCACAGCCGCCCAGACCCCACUCAGACGCAGUUCAGACCCUGGAUCCGUCCAGACCCCACUCAGACGUAGUUCAGACCCUGGAUCACAGCCGUCCAGACCCCACUCAGACGCAGUUCGGACCCUGGAUCACAGCCGCCCAGACCGCACUCAGAUGUAGUUCAGACCCUGGAUCACAGCCGUCCAGACCCCACUCAGACGCAGUUCAGACCCUGGAUCACAGCCGCCCAGACCGCACUCAGAUGUAGUUCAGACCCUGGAUCACAGCCGUCCAGACCCCACUCAGACGCAGUUCAGACCCUGGAUCACAGCCGUCCAGACUCCACUCAGACGUAGUUCAGACCCUGGAUCACAGCCGUCCAGACCCCACUCAGACUCAGUUCAGACCCUGGAUCCGUCCAGACCCCACUCACACUCAGUUCAGACCCUGGAUCACAGCCGCCCAGACCCCACUCAGACGCAGUUCAGACCCUGGAUCACAGCCGUCCAGACCCCACUCAGACGUAGUUCAGACCCUGGAUCACAGCCGCCCAGACCACACUCAGAUAUAGUUCAGACCCUGGAUCACAGCCGUCCAGACCCCACUCAGACGCAGUUCAGACCCUGGAUCACAGCCGCCCAGACCGCACUCAGAUGUAGUUCAGACCCUGGAUCACAGCCGUCCAGACCCCACUCAGACGCAGUUCAGACCCUGGAUCACAGCCGUCCAGACUCCACUCAGACUCAGUUCAGACCCUGGAUCACAGCCGUCCAGACCCCACUCAGACGCAGUUCAGACCCUGGAUCACAGCCGCCCAGACCGCACUCAGAUGUAGUUCAGACCCUGGAUCACAGCCGUCCAGACCCCACUCAGACGCAGUUCAGACCCUGGAUCACAGCCGUCCAGACCCCACUCAGACGCAGUUCGGACCCUGGAUCACAGCCGUCCAGACCCCACUCAGACGCAGUUCGGACCCUGGAUCACAGCCGCCCAGACCCCACUCAGACGCAGUUCAGACCCUGGAUCACAGCCGUCCAGACCCCACUCAGACGCAGUUCGGACCCUGGAUCACAGCCGUCCAGACCCCACUCAGACGCAGUUCGGACCCCGGAUCACAGCCGCCCAGACCCCACUCAGACGCAGUUCAGACCCUGGAUCACAGCCGCCCAGACCCCACUCAGACGCAGUUCAGACCCUGGAUCACAGCCGCCCAGACCCCACUCAGAUGUAGUUCAGACCCUGGAUCACAGCCGCCCAGACCCCACUCAGAUGUAGUUCAGACCCUGGAUCACAGCCGUCCAGACCCCACUCAGACGCAGUUGGGACCCUGGAUCACAGCUGUCCGUCCGCCCGAGCAGAUUCUUGUCCAGGUGUUUUUCCACUUGCAGCUCCGCGCUGGGCAGCUUCAGGCCUGUUACAGCGACGGUGCGGCUUCCCUGCCUGGGUUGUUGGGACGGAAGGGAUUCCACCCUGGGGCGGUGUGGGGUGGCUUCCCUGCUCUCCCUGCUCUCUGCGUUCCCACGGUGCAGGAUGGCGGCGUUGAGAGCCAGAAACGAAACCCUGAGAAGCAGAAGCCGGGCGUCCUGCCCGCCCUCCUCUACCAGGCCUCAUCUGGAGGGCUGCGCCAGGUCCUUCCAACUUCAAAGAGUUGCCUGUGAAGGGCGUCCUCCAGGUGGGUCUGCAGUGCAGUCAAGGCCUCCUGCAAUUAAUAUGCUGGGAACACAUUUUAAAUAGCUCCCUCCUCCCUUGAAUAGCAGACGGGGACAACAAGCCUGUUAUUCAGUAUUCCAUUUUUGAUAGCUCAUUGUAUCUAAAAAGAGAUCAAUUAAAGCUCUCAGAAAGCUCUCCAGCUUAAUUGAAGGACAAUUUAGACAUUGCAGUAACGGCAGAUCUGCCGUCCAUUGCCGCAUUUAUUCGGGCUGGGAGCUAUUGGCGUCUCCCACACACCCUCGCAGAUGAAGAGAUUUCAACUGGAAAGGAAACGCUACCAUCAGAGGAAAGAUAAAUUGUCACCAACUUCAUUCUUCAACGGAUAAAGGGAGCUUUGGAAAUAAAAAAUAGACCCGAACCAUGAUGUGGUGGAAUUAUCUGUGCCUGUGCUCUCCUGAGCAGCCGGGCCUGCGUUCCUUCUUCUUCCCUGUGAAGGGGCAGCGCUGGGCCCGCUUAUUAGUGCAACAGCAAAGACUCAUUAAGUUUACAGCCCGCCCGUGACGUGAGGCAGCUCUGGCCAGAAAUCUCAAGUUCAUCCCAUCAAGUCAAUUUUGUCUGUAUUUUAAGAACUUAUCUCUUGCAAAAUGGGACCUUAACAUGUUUGUGAUGGUCCACAGAUAGCUCUUACUGAAAGCGAGAAUGGCAGGUGACCAAAAAAAAAAAAAAACAAACAAAAAAAAAAACACACAAAAUGGUGACCUCAGGGACGUGAUGAAAGGGCAAUGAUGACUUCACUGUGUGUUUUCCUGACCGUGGAGUAGAGCCGUCCCAGGCAGACUCUCUGGGCCCUGCUCAGGACGGUCAUGAAACCCCAUGCUCUUGUUAUGUGAAUAUUGAAAGCAACGCCAGGGUCUGGGAGGGCAGUGGGAUGAGCCUGGCCUGGGGCAGGUGGCACCAGGGCUGCUGAGUUUCCAGGGGCACUGGCUGGUGAGUGGCCACAGCCCCUCCCGUUGGUCACCACCUGGUGGGCAGCAGCAUGAAGCCCCCGGGGGUGCGGAGUGUUGGGCUGUGUGCCACCUUCGGGGGCUCUGAUGAGCAGCUCCACUCCUUGGCCCAGGGCAGGCUUCUCAGGAGCAGGCUUGGGGGUCUGUGGCUUUUCACACGGGACGUGGACUAGCUGCUUGCCUGAGAGACCACCCUUCUGGAUUCCAGAGGACCCAGCCAGAGUCGUCACGGCAGGGUCUGCAGGGUUGGAGAAGGCUCUGUUGGGGCCGGGCACAGCAGGUGGUGGCAGGAGGAUAAUGCCGGGGCCUGGACAGGGGGUACAGGGGCGGGAAUGGAUGCACAGGUACAGACCCUGCUCUUACGUCUAGGAGGCGGGUAUAGUCAAUGCGAUGUGUAAUGUGUACAUACAGUGUGAAAUGUAUGUAGCAUGUAAAGUACACAUAAUAAAGUUUAUAUGAUUUGUAAAGUACAAAUGCUAUGUCAAGUGUACAUACCACAUAAAGUCUAUAUAACAUGUAGGGUGUAUAUGAUAUGUAAAGAGUAUGUAAUAUGUCAAGUAAACAAAAUACGUAUGGUCUAUAUAAUUCAAAGUGUCUACAUUAUAUAUAAAGUCUACAUAUUAGGUAAAGUCUAUAUAAUAUGUGAAGUCUAUAAU
rnacentral:lncRNA from 1 species